rnacentral:rRNA from 1 species
AAAGGAAUAGACGGGGGCCCGCACAAGCGGUGGAGCAUGUGCUUUAAUUCGAUGCAACGCGAAGAACCUUACCUAGGCUUGACAUGGGGGUGUAAGUUUCUAGAAAUAGAAAUCCUUCCGCAAGGAACGCCCUACACAGGUGCUGCAUGGUUGUCGUCAGCUCGUGUCGUGAGAUGUUGGGUUAAGUCCCGCAACGAGCGCAACCCUCGCCCUUAGUUGCCAUCAGGUGAAGCUGGGAACUCUAAGGGGACUGCCUAGUUUAACUAGGAGGAAGGUGAGGAUGACGUCAAAUCCUCAUGGCCCUUACGCCUAGGGCUAGACACGUGCUACAAUGGUCGGUACAACGGGCAGCCAGUUGGUGACAACGAGCUAAUCCCUUAAAACCGUCCUCAGUUCGGAUUGGAGUCUGCAAUUCGACUCCAUGAAGUUGGAAUCGCUAGUAAUCGCGGAUCAGCAUGCCGCGGUGAAUACGUUCCCGGGCCUUGUACACACCGCCCGU